rnacentral:misc_RNA from 1 species
UCGUAACAAGGUUUCCGUAGGUGAACCUGCGGAAGGAUCAUUACAGAAUGAAAAGUGCUUAACUGCAUUUUUUCUUACACAUGUGUUUUUCUUUUUUUGAAAACUUUGCUUUGRUAGGCCUUCUAUAUGGGGCCUGCCAGAGAUUAAACUCAACCAAAUUUUAUUUAAUGUCAACCGAUUAUUUAAUAGUCAAAACUUUCAACAACGGAUCUCUUGGUUCUCGCAUCGAUGAAGAACGCAGCGAAAUGCGAUAAGUAAUAUGAAUUGCAGAUAUUCGUGAAUCAUCGAAUCUUUGAACGCACAUUGCGCCCUUUGGUAUUCCAAAGGGCAUGCCUGUUUGAGCGUCAUUUCUCCCUCAAACCCUCGGGUUUGGUGUUGAGCGAUACGCUGGGUUUGCUUGAAAGAAAGGCGGAGUAUAAACUAAUGGAUAGGUUUUUUCCACUCAUUGGUACAAACUCCAAAACUUCUUCCAAAUUCGACCUCAAAUCAGGUAGGACUACCCGCUGAACUUAAGCAUAUCA